UAGGGUUGGGGUGACAGUGUUAAGGUUGGGAUUAGGGUUGGGGUUGGGUUGGGGUCAGGGUUAGGGUUGUGGAUGGGAUUAGGGUUAGGGUUAGGGUUAGGGUUAGGGUUAGGGUUAGGGUUAGGGUUAGGGUUAGGGUUAGGGCUGUGGAUGGGAUUAGGGUUAGGGUUAGGAUUAGGAUUAGGUUUGGGGUCAGGUCAUGGUCCAUAUUGGGGUCAGUGUUGGACUCACCCUCACGGUGCCCCCCCUCUUUGCCCCACAGAAAUCAGUUCUGGCCGCGCUCUACAGCUCCGAGGGCUCCGUCAUGGAGGUCAGACCCCCAACAACCCCCCCCCAUCCCUCUAUGGGGCCAUGGAGCCCCUGUGCCCCACAACCCGGCUCCUUGUGGGGUCGCCCCGUCCCCGUCCCCAUGUCGGACUGACGCGUCCCCCCCCAGCGGCACCACUUUGCUCAGGCCAUCGCCAUCCUCAACAGCCAGGGAUGCAACAUCUUCGACCACUUCUCACGCAAGGAUUACCAGCGCAUGUUGGACCUGAUGCGUGACAUCAUCCUGGCCACGGACCUGGCCCAUCACCUGCGGAUCUUCAAGGACCUGCAGAAGAUGGCGGAAGGUGACGGGGGCUGAUGGCGGGUCCCCAUGUGACCCCAUGGGGUUUGGCACCUCCCCUUGUCCAUAUGGGGUCGGAUUGUGCCCCCAUUGGGUUGUGUCAGUCCCCUUGGCCCCAUUGGGUUCUGUCAUGUCCCAGUUGGGUUCUGUUGCAUCCCCAUUGGGUUGUGUUAUGUCCCCUUGGCCCAAUGGGGUUUCAUCACCUCCCCUUGUCCAUAUGGGGUUGUAUUGGGUUGUGUCAGUCCCCUUGGCCCCAUUGGGUUGUGUCAUGUCCCAGUUGGGUUGUGUUGUGUCCCCAUUAGGUUGUGUUAUGUCCCCUUGGCCCCACUGGGUUGUGUCGUGUCCCCAUUGGGUUCUGUUGGAACCCCAUUGGAUGUGUCGUGUCCCCUUGACCCCAUUGAAUUCUGUUGCGUCCCCAUUGGGUUGUACAGUGUCCCCUUGUCCCCAUUGGGUUGUGCCACAUCCCCAUACACUUGUGUCAGGUCCCCUUGCCUACACUGGGUGAUGUUGAGUCCCAUUGAUCCCAUUGGGUUCUGUUGUGCCCCCAUUGAGUUGUGUCAUGUCCCCUUGUCCCCAUUGGGUUGUUUCGUGUCCCCUUGUCCCCAUUGGGUUGUGUCACAUCCCCAUAUAGUUGUGUCAUGUUCCCUUGUCUACACUGGGUGAUGUUGAGUCCCAUUGACCCCAUUGGGUUCUGUUGUAUCCCCAUUGGGUUGUGUUGUGUCCAUUUGACCCCAUAGGGUUGUGCCUAACCUUAACCCUAACCCUAACCCUAAUAACCUUAACCCUACCCUAACAACUCUAACCCUAAUAACCCUAACCCUAUAACCCUAUAACACUAAAACCAUAACCCUAACCCUACCCUAACCCUAACCCUGUCCCAAACCCUAACAUUAACCCUAACCCGACCCUAUAACCCUAUAACCCUAACCUUAUAAC
rnacentral:lncRNA from 1 species